rnacentral:rRNA from 1 species
GAUGAACGCUGGCGGCGUGCUUAACACAUGCAAGUCGAACGAGAAGUGAAGACGGAAACCUUCGGGCGGAAGGCUUUAUUUCGAGUGGCGGACGGGUGAGUAACGCGUGGGUAACCUGCCUCAUACAGGGGGAUAACAGUUGGAAACGACUGUUAAUACCGCAUAAGACCACAGCACCGCAUGGUGCGGGGGUAAAAACUCCGGUGGUAUGAGAUGGACCCGCGUUCGAUUAGCCAGUUGGCGGGGUAACGGCCCACCAAAGCGACGUUCGAUAGCCGAUCUGAGAGGAUGACCGGCCACAUUGGGACUGAGACACGGCCCAAACUCCUACGGGAGGCAGCAGUGGGGAAUAUUGCACAAUGGGGGAAACCCUGAUGCAGCGACGCCGCGUGAGUGAAGAAGUAUUUCGGUAUGUAAAGCUCUAUCAGCAGGGAAGAAAAUGACGGUACCUGAGUAAGAAGCCCCGGCUAACUACGUG